UACGUAGGGUGCAAGCGUUGUCCGGAAUUAUUGGGCGUAAAGAGCUCGUAGGCGGUCUGUUGCGUCGGCUGUGAAAACCCGGGGCUCAACUCCGGGCCUGCAGCCGAUACGGGCAGACUAGAGUUCGGCAGGGGAGACUGGAAUUCCUGGUGUAGCGGUGGAAUGCGUAGAGAUCCGGAAGAACACCGGUGGCGAAGGCGGUCUGCUGGGCCAAGACUGACGCUGAGGCGCGACAGCGUGGGGAGCAAACAGG
rnacentral:rRNA from 1 species